rnacentral:rRNA from 1 species
UACAGAGGUCCCAAGCGUUGUUCGGAUUCACUGGGCGUAAAGGGUGCGUAGGUGGUGAGGUAAGUCGGAUGUGAAAUCUCCGGGCUCAACCCGGAAAUGGCAUUGGAAACUACCUUGCUGGAGGAUUUGAGGGGGGAUUGGAAUACUUGGUGUAGCAGUGAAAUGCGUAGAUAUCAAGUGGAACACCAGUGGCGAAGACGAAUCCCUGGAAAAUACCUGACACUGAGGCACGAAAGCUAGGGGAGCGAACGGG